AGACAGGUGGAGAGGGAGACAGGAAGAGAGGGAGACAGAAAGAGAGAGAGACAGGAAGAGAAACAGACAGGAAGAGAGGCAGGAGGAGAGGGAGACAGGAAGAGAGACAGGAAGAGAGGGAGGAGGAGAGGGAGACAGGAAGAGAGGCAGGAAGAGAGGGAGACAGGAAGAGAGUGAGACAGGAAGAGAGACAGACAGACAGACAGACAGACAGACAGGUCCAUGGUGACCUGUCUUGCUACGUCCUGUCUGUGGUACCUGGAUGAUGCGUGGGGGGGGCUGCGGCUGGUUCUCGGGGUCUUUCAGGACUUUGACCGGACCAUCAUU